rnacentral:rRNA from 1 species
GAUGAACGCUGGCGGCGUGCCUAAUACAUGCAAGUCGAGCGAACAGACGAGGAGCUUGCUCCUCUGACGUUAGCGGCGGACGGGUGAGUAACACGUGGAUAACCUACCUAUAAGACUGGGAUAACUUUGGGAAACCGGAGCUAAUACCGGAUAAUAUAUUGAACCGCAUGGUUCAAUAGUGAAAGACGGUUUUGCUGUCACUUAUAGAUGGAUCCGCGCCGCAUUAGCUAGUUGGUAAGGUAACGGCUUACCAAGGCGACGAUGCGUAGCCGACCUGAGAGGGUGAUCGGCCACACUGGAACUGAGACACGGUCCAGACUCCUACGGGAGGCAGCAGUAGGGAAUCCUCCGCAAUGGGCGAAAGCCUGACGGAGCAACGCCGCGUGAGUGAUGAAGGUCUUCGGAUCGUAAAACUCUGUUAUUAGGGAAGAACAAAUGUGUAAGUAACUAUGCACGUCUUGACGGUACCUAAUCAGAAAGCCACGGCUAACUACGUG